GGGUUGUGAGGUUAAGCGACUAAGCGUACACGGUGGAUGCCCUGGCAGUCAGAGGCGAUGAAGGGCGUGCUAAUCUGCGAUAAGCGCCGGUAAGGUGAUAUGAACCGUUAUAACCGGCGAUACCCGAAUGGGGAAACCCAGUGUGAUUCGUCACACUAUCAUUAACUGAAUCCAUAGGUUAAUGAGGCGAACCGGGGGAACUGAAACAUCUAAGUACCCCGAGGAAAAGAAAUCAACCGAGAUUCCCCCAGUAGCGGCGAGCGAACGGGGAGGAGCCCAGAGCCUGAAUCAGCAUGUGUGUUAG
rnacentral:rRNA from 3 species